CUCACUUCCUUUCCCUUUACCCCUGCUUCCUGGGAUCUCCUCCCAAACAAACAAGUCCUGUCUCAGGCUCUGCUUCUGGGGGAACCCAAGCUAAGAGAGAAGUGCUAUUAACAACUGGAGGAUCUGAAUGCCAUCUCUUACCUUUCAGAAUUGUCACUUACACCUAAACCAGAGAGGAGGAGAGUCUCAACACUGGCUUUGAAACACCUCUGACCCACAGGAAAUGGCUGUUUUCAAGUGUCAGGAGGAAGCCCGGGGAGCUUGACUUGGAAAGACUUACAGUGCAGAGGACAGCAGACACAGCGGAGUGUGGGAGGUAAUGCCUGAAGCUUAACUAGAGGGUUUCAGUGAAAGUUUGCAGACUGCCUGCAAGGACCUCCCCCAGAGCCUUCCUCAGGAGGCUGGCGGUCAAGCACGGACUCCCCAAGAAAAAGACUGGAGAGGAUAAGUACCCCCAGACUGACAAGUUAACGCGAAGGUACUGUGCUUACAACGAAAGCCCUUUAUGCCUCAGCUUGUCCUGGCCUCACCUGCCGGUUCCUCAAAUCUCAGCCGCAGUGCAGCAUCUGGCCAGCCUCCUGCAGGUGCAGCCUGACAGUAUCUGGCCUCCGGCCCACGUAUGCUUCUUACUUCCUGCCCUUGGGCUUCUCCCGGAGACCCAGGCAAGAGCCACCUCCCUUCUGAUGUACGUUCCACCUGGAAAUAGAGUCAAGUUGACACCCCCUGAGUCACCUCUUUGACCAACUGGUUUAGGGGGAGAAUCCUGAGCUGACAGAGGCAUCCCUCCCUCUUUCUCGGGAAUGGACAGACAGCGCCAGGACACGUUCACGCAGCUGUCCAGGCUGUCCCCCGAUAGAGCGACCAGUCACCUGCCGUCAUGACCAAGCAAUAGUGAAUCCUUGAGCCGGCUCUCCCUCCUUCCCUGUUUCACCUCCUAUCACUCCCCGUCCCCUGGAGCAAACCCCCGGUUUGUCUUGUUUGGUCUUAGGCUUUGCUUUCUGGCAAA